rnacentral:rRNA from 1 species
UACGGAGGGGGCUAGCGUUGUUCGGAAUUACUGGGCGUAAAGCGCGCGUAGGCGGCUUUGUAAGUUAGAGGUGAAAGCCCGGAGCUCAACUCCGGAACUGCCUUUAAGACUGCAUCGCUAGAAUUGUGGAGAGGUGAGUGGAAUUCCGAGUGUAGAGGUGAAAUUCGUAGAUAUUCGGAAGAACACCAGUGGCGAAGGCGACUCACUGGACGCAUAUUGACGCUGAGGUGCGAAAGCGUGGGGAGCAAACAGG